rnacentral:rRNA from 1 species
GAUGAACGCUGGCGGCGUGCCUAAUACAUGCAAGUCGAACGAACAGACGAGGAUCUUGCUCCUCUGACGUUAGCGGCGCACGGGAGAGUACCACGUGGAUAACCUACCUAUCAGACUGGGAUAACUUCUACACCCCGGAGCUAAUACCGGAUAAUAUAUUGAACCCCAUGGUUCAAUAGUGAAAGACGGUUUUGCUGUCACGUAUAGAUCGUUCCGAGCCGCAUUAGCGAAUUGGUAAGGUAACGGCUUACCAACGCGACGAGGCAUAGCCGAGCCAGGAGAGUAAGCGGCCACGCUGUAACAGAAACACGGGCCAGACUCCUACGGGAGGCAGCAGUAGGGUAUCAUCCGCAAUGGGCGAGAGCAUGACGGAGCAACGCCGCGUGAGUUAUGAAGGUAUUCGGAUCGGAAAACUCUGUGAUUAGGGGAGAACAACUGUGUAAGUAGCUAAGCACGUAUUGACGGUACCUGAGCAGAAAGCCACGGCUAACUACGUG